GCCCUGGUGGCUCAACAGUUAAGUGCUUGGCUGCUAACCAAAAGGUUGGUGGUUCAAAUUCAUUUGGUGGCU
rnacentral:tRNA from 1 species